GAUGAACGCUGGCGGCGUGCCUAAUACAUGCAAGUCGAGCGAACAGAUGAGGAGCUUGCUCCUCUGACGUUAGCGGCGGACGGGUGAGUAACACGUGGAUAACCUACCUAUAAGACUGGGAUAACUUCGGGAAACCGGAGCUAAUACCGGAUAAUAUAUUGAACCGCAUGGUUCAAUAGUGAAAGACGGCUUUGCUGUCACUUAUAGAUGGAUCCGCGCCGCAUUAGCUAGUUGGUAAGGUAACGGCUUACCAAGGCAACGAUGCGUAGCCGACCUGAGAGGGUGAUCGGCCACACUGGAACUGAGACACGGUCCAGACUCCUACGGGAGGCAGCAGUAGGGAAUCUUCCGCAAUGGGCGAAAGCCUGACGGAGCAACGCCGCGUGAGUGAUGAAGGUCUUCGGAUCGUAAAACUCUGUUAUUAGGGAAGAACAGAUGUGUAAGUAACUAUGCACGUCUUGACGGUACCUAAUCAGAAAGCCACGGCUAACUACGUG
rnacentral:rRNA from 1 species